UUGUACUGUGCCAUUCGAUCCUCUCCUAAAUGGAAAGGAUCGUAGCCUCUGAUGGCCUGAAUGGCUAGAGAUGUGUUCUUGCUCCCUGAAAUGUAGGAUCUGGGCAUUUGACUGUUUUUGGGGUUAUAGACUUGCAUAUUCUUCUUCGAUUUCAAUUUAAGAAAAUCUACUGAGCAUUCACUACUCUCUGUGUUCAUCCUUCUCUACCAUUUUAUCUACCAUAAAGCUUCAACCUUUAUCUGUUAAUCAACCUAAGAAACCAUGCCUAAUACCAUUUGAAUAGGUAUUGGGACGUUGUUUGGAACAGAGCUGGAGGUGACGAUGUGGUGGAAAAAUAGCCACCACCACCACUGGUCCAAAUCCGACGGCGCGCGCUGUAGCAUCUGCGUGAAUGUCCCCGCACAACUGGACUCCGGGACGUUUUCCAAAUAAACUUCAGACUCCAAAGGGUGCGGCUGAAAGGGUAGAAUCUGAGGCAAUCAAAUCCAAUCCAGGGAAGAGAUUGGAUAAUUUCUGAGGCUAAUCCGGAGAAUACAGUUGGGGUAUUGACAAUGGCAGGCAAAGGGGUUCGGGUUUUGGCUACUCCAACCUCUGAUCUUGUCAGGAUUUUGGCAUGCAUGCAAGGCAUAGUUCUCAAUUCAUAACUAAUUUGUUUGUGUGAUUCGAUUUGAAUUCGAAAUUUUACAUGUUUAUCUUAUUUGUAGAGUAGCUGAUGAAUCUUUAUCAAUGAAGCAGUUGGAAUGGUUUUGUUGAAUGU